rnacentral:rRNA from 1 species
ACAACUCUCAACAACGGAUAUCUUGGCUCCCGUAACGAUGAAGAACGCAGCGAAAUGCGAUACGUAGUGUGAAUUGCAGAAUUCCGUGAACCAUCGAAUCUUUGAACGCAAAUUGCGCUCGAGGCUUCGGCCAAGAGCAUGUCUGCCUCAGCGUCG